GAUCGAGUGAUUAUCUUGGUGGU
rnacentral:siRNA from 1 species